rnacentral:rRNA from 1 species
AUUGAACGCUGGCGGCAUGCUUUACACAUGCAAGUCGAACGGCAGCGGGGGCUUCGGCCUGCCGGCGAGUGGCGAACGGGUGAGUAAUGCAUCGGAACGUGCCCAUGUCGUGGGGGAUAACGUAGCGAAAGCUACGCUAAUACCGCAUACGUCCUGAGGGAGAAAGCGGGGGAUCUUUGGACCUCGCGCGAUUGGAGCGGCCGAUGUCGGAUUAGCUAGUAGGUGAGGUAAAGGCUCACCUAGGCGACGAUCCGUAGCGGGUCUGAGAGGAUGAUCCGCCACACUGGGACUGAGACACGGCCCAGACUCCUACGGGAGGCAGCAGUGGGGAAUUUUGGACAAUGGGGGCAACCCUGAUCCAGCCAUGCCGCGUGAGUGAAGAAGGCCUCGGUUGUAAG